UACGGGGGGAGCAAGCGUUGUUCGGAUUUACUGGGCGUAAAGGGCGCGUAGGCGGCCACCGCAAGUCGAUUGUGAAAUCUCCGGGCUUAACUCGGAAAGGUCAACCGAUACUGCGGGGCUAGAGUGCAGAAGGGGCAACUGGAAUUCUCGGUGUAGCGGUGAAAUGCGUAGAUAUCGAGAGGAACACCUGCGGCGAAGGCGGUUGCCUGGGGCUUUGCUGACGCUGAGGCGCGAAAGUGUGGGGAGCGAUCCGG
rnacentral:rRNA from 1 species